GCCUCGUAGAGGGUUUUCGGGCAGCGCUUGCGGCGCGCAUGGCGCCGGCGGUCUCGGCGACGGCCGGAGCGAUGAAGGCCUAUGGCGAGGGACCCCGCUUGCAAGCGUGCGGUCCCCGCUAUUUGUCGGGCCUCGUUGCGAACUCUACGGGCAUGCCGAAAGCAGCGCGCAACUAGCCGCCGCCUGCUGAGAGGGCAGCCAGCCAUCGUCGUAUAAAAGACGGUGGCUCAAAAUUGCCAGUGAUGCUGCAGGUGACUCCUCGAGUCAGCUUCCCAAUGAAUGACGCACCGCGCCGGAGCAAAAUCAUCAUCGCAUCAGCUGGCAUUGGCAUCAUGCUGCUUGGCGUGCUCACCAGGUACCUCAGGAGACGUUUUGUUGACUUCAAAAGUGCCGUCGUCAAUGGAGAGGUGUCUAACGUGGUGUGGUGCGGUCGGUGCCGAUGUGGACGCCGAACCAGCGUCCCUCGUGGGUCUAUGCGGGCACUGCAAGGCCCCACAGCUGCGGACCGGGCGUCGAUGGCUCACAUGGGACCCCAGCAGCUGGCCAGCUUGGGUCUGGACUCACUGGACCAAGUGAUCAGCUACUGGGAGCAGGCCUUGCAGCGGCUCAGAACAGGCGGCUCCAAUUCUGGCAAUGAGAUCCUGGCCACCAGCCUGGAAUUCCUGCUUGUGGAAGGCCAGCGGCUGCGGGGUGCUGCCCACUGGCGCCUGCUCGCCGAUGGACUCCCUCCUCUGGAUGAGCCGCAGCUGGCAGACUUCACCCCCUCUCUGGCCGACACCGAGAGUUUCGUCUCGGCCGAGGGCACAUCCGAUGUGGCAGUGGUGGCUGAUCUGGAGGCCAGCCAAAUUCCCCUGCUGGAGCAGUCGGCCCUGUACCUAGAGGCAUUGGAGCUGCUCGAGAAAGAAGGCAUCCCUUGCCGGACAUACAGGGCGGAUGUGGUUCGGUGCAGCUCGCGGGAAGACUACCUGGCGAAAAUCCACUGCAUACGCCUUGCAUUCAAGCGCCUCACAGAUCAGCCAGAUGUUCUCCAGUGGCUUAUAGAAGCAGCCAAUCAUAUUCUUGGUGGCUUCAUGCUGUGUGCUGGAAAAGACCCGAAGGAUGCGCUGAAUGCGUACCGUGAGCUGGUUGCCUACCUGCUGGACAGCAGCCACUGCGACCAAAUUGCCAAGGAGCUGCAGUACAAAGGGGUCAGUUGGAGCUGGCCAUCACAGCGUUGCAUGCCCCAGGUGGUGUGCCCAACAGUGUAUGAUGUCGUGAUUGACUAUGUCCUCCUGGACGCCUUUGAUGACUUGAGCAGCCCGCCGCAGUCAGUUGUGGCUGUUAUCCAGAACCGGUGGCUGACCGCAGGGUUCAAGGAAACAGCACUGUCCGCGGCAAUUUGGUCUCUCUUCAAGGCCAAGAAAGGGCUGCUUCCUUUCUCUCAUGGCUUCUUCUCGCACUACUACGCCCUGAUGGAACAAAUUGUGCCCGUGCUUGCCUGGGGCUUUCUGGGUACUGACAAUGACCUCAAGGAUAUGUGCAAGUUUUUCAAGUGGAGGUAUUCGUGGAAGUGAUUGACUGAGGGUGUGGCCUGGGCCCAAAGUGACCAUAUUGUGUAGCAACUAACCCACCUUACCAAGGAGAAGGUCGUCUGGUGACCAUGAGGCCUGUGACUUUUAGCCAUCAGUGAUGCAGGCUAAAGAUGAAGUGGAAGCGCUUGUGUGCGACAUGUUUGACCCGAGCCGCAGCCGCUAUUCAAGCGUGGAUGACCUAGCGCAGGA
rnacentral:misc_RNA from 1 species